CGCACUCGUAAUGCGCAGGUCAGGGGUUCGAAUCCCCUCGCCGGCU
rnacentral:tRNA from 1 species